CAAGUUUUGCUUGGAAUUGGAGAUUGCAUGGAAUGGCAUUCAAGGCAGCAACUCGUGACAUUGUUUAUUACAAUUUUCUGAGUGUAUAUACUGGCAUGGAUCACCCUUGACAGAGCACAGUUGAACUUUGGGGAGACUGACAGUGCAGCUGAGAACUUCCUUAGAGCAAUAGCCAUAAAGUCUUUCCAAGAAAAAGGAACAUAAUGUUGCUCCAACAUCUAAAGUAUCUGUGGCCGUCUUUUACUUCCUUCACUUGGGCUGCCGGGAGAGUGAUUCAUUAUAAGGUCCUGGUCUAGUACUAUCAUGACAGCCAGAUGAUUCUAAGGAGGCUCAAGAUGUGACAGACACAGUGCAUCGCAGCUUGUAAAAAGGUGAAAGCAGCGUCAUUCAUCAGGCUUGAGCACUAAAGAGAACCGUUAUGUGGAGUGUGACAAGACUGAGAGCUCUUGAAUAGAUAAGAAAGUAGCAUCAAAGCAAGAGUUUCACACUCAUGUACCCUGUCCUGAGGUACCAAUUUAAUGAUGCUAUACUUAAAGGGGGCGUUCCAUUCAACAGAGCUUAUGGAAUGACAGCUUUCCAGUAUCCAGGCACUGACCAAAGGUUCAAUAGGGUAUUCAAUCAAGUGAUUUCAAACCACACUUCCCUCAUCAUGAAGAAAAUCCUUGAUAUUUACGAAGGGUUCGAUGGGCUCAAGGUGUAAGUUGAUGCUGGAGGUGGAAUUGGAGAUACUCUCAACAUUAUCAACUCUAAGUAUCCUCACAUUGAGAGCAUAAAUUAUGAUUAGCAGAUGCACCUUCGUAUCCAGGCGUGGAGCAUGUUGGGGGAGAUAUGUUUGUUAGUGUGCCAAAUGGAGAUGCUGUUUUCAUGAAGUGGACACUUCAUGAUUGGAGCGAUGAGCAUUGCCUGAAACUACUCCAACUGUUGGGAAGCUCUUCCAAGUAAUGGUAAGGUGAUCAUCGUGGAAUCGCUUCUUCCUGUUGCACCAGAGAAUAUUGCUUUCUCACACGUUGUCUUUGAACAAGAUCUGUGCAUGUUGGCUCAAGAUCCUGGUGUAUGGAGUUCGAAGCCUUGGAAAAGAAAUCUGGUUUUUCAGGCUGUGAAGUCAUAUGUUGUGCUUACAACAGCUGGGUAAUGGAGUUUCAAAAAGACAGCACUGCCAUAAAUUAACUUAAGCAAUUUCCUCUCUUUUUUCCCCUACAAUUGCUCUUGCUCCUGGUGGCUGAAGUGACACAUACUCUGCUCAUAGAACAGGGAGUCGAAUAAUUGCAUCAUGUACCAAUGAACGCAAACUGAAACUUCAUUUUUUGCCUACAACUAGGACUGCGUGUCGAUUAUCCGAAAACCCAUUGCUAUUUAAUGAUAGAACCAUGGUCUUAAAUGUGGCAUUUUACC